rnacentral:rRNA from 1 species
AGGGAACGCGGGCGGUAGGCCUAACACAUGCAAGUCGAACGGCAGCACAGUAAGAGCUUGCUCUUACGGGUGGCGAGUGGCGGACGGGUGAGGAAUACAUCGGAAUCUACUUUUUCGUGGGGGAUAACGUAGGGAAACUUACGCUAAUACCGCAUACGACCUACGGGUGAAAGCAGGGGAUCUUCGGACCUUGCGCGAUUGAAUGAGCCGAUGUCGGAUUAGCUAGUUGGCGGGGUAAAGGCCCACCAAGGCGACGAUCCGUAGCUGGUCUGAGAGGAUGAUCAGCCACACUGGAACUGAGACACGGUCCAGACUCCUACGGGAGGCAGCAGUGGGGAAUAUUGGACAAUGGGCGCAAGCCUGAUCCAGCCAUACCGCGUGGGUGAAGAAGGCCUUCGGGUUGUAAAGCCCUUUUGUUGGGAAAGAAAAGCAGCAGGUUAAUACCCCGCUGUUCUGACGGUACCCAAAGAAUAAGCACCGGCUAACUUCGUU